rnacentral:rRNA from 1 species
AACGUAGGGGACGAGCGUUGUCCGGAUUUAUUGGGCGUAAAGAGCGCGCAGGCGGCUUCGCAAGUCGGGUGUGAAAAUCCGGGGCUCAACCCCGGACCUGCAUUCGAUACUGCGUGGCUAGAGGCAGGCAGGGGAGAUCGGAAUUCCUGGUGUAGCGGUGAAAUGCGCAGAUAUCGGGAGGAACACCAGUGGCGAAGGCGGCGACCUGGGCCAAUAUUGACGCUGAGGUGCGAAAGCGUGGGGAGCAAACAGG